rnacentral:rRNA from 1 species
AGAGUUUGAUCCUGGCUCAGGAUAAACGCUGGCGGCGCACAUAAGACAUGCAAGUCGAACGGACUUAAUCGAUUCUUUUAGAUUCGAAGCGGUUAGUGGCGGACUGGUGAGUAACACGUAAGCAACCUGCCUAUUAGAGGGGAAUAACAGUGAGAAAUCACUGCUAAAACCGCAUAUGCCGUGAACAUCGCAUGAUGAAAACGGGAAAAGAGUAAUCUGCUAAUAGAUGGGCUUGCGUCUGAUUAGCUAGUUGGUGUGGUAAUGGCAUACCAAGGCAACGAUCAGUAGCCGGACUGAGAGGUUGAACGGCCACAUUGGGACUGAGAUACGGCCCAGACUCCUACGGGAGGCAGCAGUCGGGAAUAUUGCGCAAUGGAGGAAACUCUGACGCAGUGACGCCGCGUAUGGGAAGAAGGUUUUCGGAUUGUAAACCAUUUUAGACAAGGAAGAAACAAGACAGUACUUGUAGAAUAAGCUCCGGCUAACUACGUGCCAGCAGCCGCGGUAAUACGUAGGGAGCAAGCGUUAUCCGGAUUUAUUGGGUGUAAAGGGUGCGUAGACGGGAAGGUAAGUUAGUUGUGAAAUCCCUCGGCUCAACUGAGGAACUGCGACUAAAACUGCUUUUCUUGAGUGCUGGAGAGGAAAGUGGAAUUCCUAGUGUAGCGGUGAAAUGCGUAGAUAUUAGGAGGAACACCAGUGGCGAAGGCGACUUACUGGACUGUAACUGACGUUGAGGCACGAAAGUGUGGGGAGCAAACAGGAUUAGAUACCCUGGUAGUCCACACCGUAAACGAUGGAUACUAGGUGUAGGGGAUAUUAAGUCUUCUGUGCCGUCGCAAACGCAGUAAGUAUCCCACCUGGGGAGUACGGCCGCAAGGUUGAAACUCAAAGGAAUUGACGGGGGCCCG